rnacentral:rRNA from 1 species
UAAUACGGAGGGUGCGAGCGUUGUCCGGAAUCACUGGGCGUAAAGGGCGCGUAGGCGGCCUGAUAAGUAGGGGGUGAAAUCCUGCGGCUUAACCGCAGGGCUGCCUUCUAAACUGUCAGGCUCGAGCACAGUAGAGGCAGGUGGAAUUCCCGGUGUAGCGGUGGAAUGCGUAGAGAUCGGGAAGAACAUCAGUGGCGAAGGCGGCCUGCUGGGCUGUUGCUGACGCUGAGGCGCGACAGCGUGGGGAGCAAACAGGAUUAGAUACCCUGGUAGUCCACGCCGUAAACUAUGGGUGCUAGCCGUCGGGGAGCAUGCUCUUCGGUGGCGCAGCAAACGCAUUAAGCACCCCGCCUGGGGAGUACGGUCGCAAGAUUA